ACACGACUACAUUAGAUACCCGUGUAGUCCUAGCCGUAAACGAUACUCGCUAGGUGUCGGCCACGGUGCGACCGUUGUCGGUGCCGUAGGGAAGCCGUGAAGCGAGCCACCUGGGAAGUACGGUCGCAAGGUUGAAACUUAAGGGAAUUGGCGGGGGAGCACCGCAACGGGAGGAGCGUGCGGUUUAAUUGGAUUCAACACCGGAAAACUCACCAGGGGAGACUGUUACAUGAAACCCAGACUAAUGAUCUUGGUUGAUUUUCAG
rnacentral:rRNA from 1 species